CUAUAUUUUUUAAAAAUGUUAUUCCUCAUUGUUUAUCAGUCUUAGUCAUUUUUAUUCUGAAUAUUUGUAUCAAUUCUUUCUGCCAAAUGAAUGAAGUCCAUCUUCCCCUCAGCUCAGAUUUAAAAUAAAAAUUAUGAUUAUGGGUAAAAUAUCCAACUGCAUGUCCUAAUGCGUUUUAAACCAGUACAGGUAAUGAUUUUAGCUUGAAGUUUCCGCAAUUUAGUCUUUGUGGAGAACUGUAAAAUGCGAGUUUGAAGGAGGUCCGUGAAUGCGUCACCAAAAACGCAGCUGAACUGAAAAAAGCAGCGAGCAGUUCAGCAGUUUGAACUUGUACCUCUGAAAUGUGGACAAAGAUGGAAAACAAAAGCUCGGCUACCGUCCGGCAAACUUUCAUCUCAAAGAUGGUUGACCCAAAUCUGAGAGAAGAGCUUCUAAAUUUAAAAGUUUCCAGCGCAGCCGCCACUCAUCCGUCCAACACAGAGGAUUCUUUAACAAGGACCAACGGGAUCAUACCUGGUGAGCAGCUUUUCUGUUUCACAGUCGACUUUGUGUCAGCAGUUUAAAAGAACAGUUUAUCAGACAAACCCUCUGAAAUAUAUCAUUUUAAUUAUAAAUACUCUAUUUACUAAGCAAACUUAGCACAAAAAGAAUGGAAAUUUGUGUUUGGUUUAUUAUUUUGUUGUUCUAAAAUAUCCCUAAACUAAUGGAAAGUUUAUUCAUUUAGUCUUUAAGCAUCCUGUCAAACAAAAUCCUGUAAUAAAUGAGCAAAUGUAAAUGCUGGGAGGUGGUUUAUUUCUGUGAAGAAAUGUGAUGCGUUUGUGUUGAUGAAAAUAUUGCUGUAGUUUUAGGUGGAAAGAGUAAUACAAAGUUAAAGCCUGAGUUGUGAAAAAA